UACGGAAGGCAGCAGUGGGGAAUAUUGCACAAUGGGCGCAAGCCUGAUGCAGCCAUGCCGCGUGUAUGAAGAAGGCCUUCGGGUUGUAAAGUACUUUCAGUCGUGAGGAAGGUGUUAAGGUUAAUAACCUUAGCAAUUGACGUUAGCGACAGAAGAAGCACCGGCUAACUCCGUGCCAGCAGCCGCGGUAAUACGAAGGGUGCAAGCGUUACUCGGAAUUACUGGGCGUAAAGCGUGCGUAGGUGGUUUGUUAAGUCUGAUGUGAAAGCCCUGGGCUCAACCUGGGAAUGGCAUUGGAAACUGGCUUACUAGAGUGCGGUAGAGGGGUGUGGAAUUCCCGGUGUAGCAGUGAAAUGCGUAGAUAUCGGGAGGAACAUCUGUGGCGAAGGCGACACCCUGGGACCAGCACUGACACUGAGGCACGAAAGCGUGGGGAGCAAACAGGAUUAGAAUACC
rnacentral:rRNA from 1 species